rnacentral:rRNA from 1 species
GAUUAACGCUGGCGGCGUGCAUAACACAUUCAAGUCGAACGGUGAGAGGGCUUCGGCCCCUGAUCAGUGGCGGACGGGUGAGUAACGCGUGAGCAACCUGCCCUUGUGUGGGGGAUAACGUUUGGAAACGGACGCUAAUACCGCAUAACCCAAUAGUGCGGCAUCGUACAGUUGGCAAAGAUUUAUUGCACAAGGAUGGGCUCGCGUCUGAUUAGGUAGUUGGUGGGGUAACGGCCUACCAAGCCCGCGAUCAGUAGCCGGACUGAGAGGUUGAACGGCCACAUUGGAACUGAGAUACGGUCCAGACUCCUACGGGAGGCAGCAGUGGGGAAUAUUGGGCAAUGGGGGAAACCCUGACCCAGCGACGCCGCGUGAGGGAAGAAGGUCUUCGGAUUGUAAACCUUAAACAACAGGGACGAAGAAAGUGACGGUACCUGUUAGGAAGCCACGGCUAACUACGUGCCAGCCGCCGCAGUAACAC